rnacentral:ncRNA from 1 species
UGAAGGAGGGCUCAUUAUUCUUGAUUAAUAUCAAGUAAAAAGGAAGAAGCAUGAAAUAGUGUUGUACGACUGUUUAAUUAAAACAAAGCACUUUGCAAAAAGAUGAUAAAUCUAAGUAUUGAGUGUGAAAUCUGCCCGAUGUCGGCUGGUUAACGAAGAUAACUAAAUUUUUAAAGGUUUGGUGUUGCAGGAAACCCCGAUGAAUGGCGGCCUUAACGUGAGGGUCCUAAGGUAGCGAAAUGCCUUGGCCGUUAAAUGCGGUCUUGCAUGAAUGGUGUAACGAUACAACAGCUGUCUCUA